rnacentral:rRNA from 1 species
ACGGAGGAUCCAAGCGUUAUCCGGAAUUACUGGGCGUAAAGAGUUGCGUAGGUGGCAGAGUAAGUUGGUAGUGAAAGCGUGCGGCUCAACCGCAUAUACAUUACCAAAACUACUUAGCUAGAGGACGAGAGAGGCAUCUGGAAUUCCCAGUGUAGGAGUGAAAUCCGUAGAUAUUGGGAGGAACACCGAUGGCGUAGGCAGGGUGCUGGCUCGUUCCUGACACUGAGGCACGAAAGCGUGGGUAGCAAACGGGA